rnacentral:rRNA from 1 species
AUUGAACGCUGGCGGCAUGCCUUACACAUGCAAGUCGAACGGCAGCACGGGUGCUUGCACCUGGUGGCGAGUGGCGAACGGGUGAGUAAUACAUCGGAACGUACCUUAUCGUGGGGGAUAACGCAGCGAAAGCUGUGCUAAUACCGCAUACGCCCUGAGGGGGAAAGGGGGGGACCGUAAGGCCUCGCGCAAUUAGAGCGGCCGAUACCUGAUUAGCUAGUUGGUGAGGUAAAGGCUCACCAAGGCAACGAUCAGUAGCUGGUCUGAGAGGACGAUCAGCCGCACUGGGACUGAGACACGGCCCAGACUCCUACGGGAGGCAGCAGUGGGGAAUUUUGGACAAUGGGGGCAACCCUGAUCCAGCAAUGCCGCGUGAGUGAAGAAGGCCUUCGGGUUGUAAAGCUCUUUUGUCAGGGAAGAAACAGCAGCUCUAACACAGUAUGCGAAUGACGGUACCUGAAGAAUAAGCACCGGCUAACUACGUGCCAGCCGCCGCCGUAA